AGAGUUUGAUCCUGGCUCAGAGCGAACGCUGGCGGCAGGCCUAACACAUGCAAGUCGAACGGAUCCUUCGGGAUUAGUGGCGGACGGGUGAGUAACACGUGGGAACGUGCCCUUUGGUUCGGAACAACUCAGGGAAACUUGAGCUAAUACCGGAUGUGCCCUUCGGGGGAAAGAUUUAUCGCCAUUGGAGCGGCCCGCGUCUGAUUAGCUAGUUGGUGAGGUAAAGGCUCACCAAGGCGACGAUCAGUAGCUGGUCUGAGAGGAUGAUCAGCCACAUUGGGACUGAGACACGGCCCAAACUCCUACGGGAGGCAGCAGUGGGGAAUCUUGCGCAAUGGGCGAAAGCCUGACGCAGCCAUGCCGCGUGAAUGAUGAAGGUCUUAGGAUUGUAAAAUUCUUUCACCGGGGACGAUAAUGACGGUACCCGGAGAAGAAGCCCCGGCUAACUUCGUGCCAGCAGCCGCGGUAAUACGAAGGGGGCUAGCGUUGCUCGGAAUUACUGGGCGUAAAGGGAGCGUAGGCGGACUGUUUAGUCAGAGGUGAAAGCCCAGGGCUCAACCUUGGAAUUGCCUUUGAUACUGGCAGUCUUGAGUACGGAAGAGGUAUGUGGAACUCCGAGUGUAGAGGUGAAAUUCGUAGAUAUUCGGAAGAACACCAGUGGCGAAGGCGACAUACUGGUCCGUUACUGACGCUGAGGCUCGAAAGCGUGGGGAGCAAACAGGAUUAGAUACCCUGGUAGUCCACGCCGUAAACGAUGAGUGCUAGUUGUCGGCAUGCAUGCAUGUCGGUGACGCAGCUAACGCAUUAAGCACUCCGCCUGGGGAGUACGGUCGCAAG
rnacentral:rRNA from 1 species